rnacentral:snRNA from 1 species
AGCUUUGCGCAGUGGCAGUAUCGUAGCCAAUGAGGUUUAUCCGAGGCGCGAUUAUUGCUAAUUGAAAACUUUUCCCAAUACCCCGCCGUGACGACUUGAAAUAUACUCGGCAUUUUACAACUGAAAAUGGG